CCUACGGGAGGCAGCAGUGGGGAAUAUUGGACAAUGGGCGAAAGCCUGAUCCAGCAAUGCCGCGUGAGUGAUGAAGGCCUUCGGGUCGUAAAGCUCUUUUACCAGGGAUGAUAAUGACAGUACCUGGAGAAUAAGCUCCGGCUAACUCCGUGCCAGCAGCCGCGGUAAUACGGAGGGAGCUAGCGUUGUUCGGAAUUACUGGGCGUAAAGAGUACGUAGGCGGUUAUUCAAGUCAGAGGUGAAAGCCCGGGGCUCAACCCCGGAACUGCCUUUGAAACUAGAUAACUAGAGUCUUGGAGAGGUUAGUGGAAUUCCGAGUGUAGAGGUGAAAUUCGUAGAUAUUCGGAAGAACACCAGUGGCGAAGGCGACUAACUGGACAAGUACUGACGCUGAGGUACGAAAGCGUGGGGAGCAAACAGGAUUAGAUACCCUGGUAGUCCACGCCGUAAACGAUGAUAACUAGUUGUUCGGUCACUUGGUGACUGAGUGACGCAGCUAACGCAUUAAGUUAUCCGCCUGGGGAUACGGUCGCAAGAUUAAAACUCAAAGGAAUUGACCGGNNGAGANGCGAGACGACACGAGGAGAG
rnacentral:rRNA from 1 species